GUCUAAAUAGCUCAGCGGUUAGAGCAAAAGAUUGAAAAUCUUUGGGUCAGUAGUUCAAAUCUACUUUUAGACA
rnacentral:tRNA from 1 species